rnacentral:rRNA from 1 species
AUUGAACGCUGGCGGCAUGCUUUACACAUGCAAGCCGAACGGCAGCGCGGGCUUCGGCCUGGCGGCGAGUGGCGAACGGGUGAGUAAUGCAUCGGAACGUGCCCAGUAGUGGGGGAUAGCCCGGCGAAAGCCGGAUUAAUACCGCAUACGACCUGAGGGUGAAAGCGGGGGACCGAAAGGCCUCGCGCUAUUGGAGCGGCCGAUGUCGGAUUAGCUAGUUGGUGGGGUAAAGGCUUACCAAGGCGACGAUCCGUAGCUGGUCUGAGAGGACGACCAGCCACACUGGGACUGAGACACGGCCCAGACCCCUACGGGAGGCAGCAGUGGGGAAUUUUGGACAAUGGGGGCAACCCUGAUCCAGCCAUGCCGCGUGCGGGAAGAAGGCCUUCGGGUUGUAAACCGCUUUUGUUCGGGAAGAAAUCCUCUGGGCUAAUACCCCGGGGGGAUGACGGUACCGGAAGAAUAAGCACCGGCUAACUACGUG